rnacentral:tRNA from 2 species
AUAUAGGUGGUCGAGUGGUCUAAGGCACCUGAUUGAAGAUCAGGCGUACGGGAAACUGUACCGGGAGUUCGAAUCUUCCUCUAUCCGCAA